UUCCCAAAGGAGCAUUUUGCAAUACCCGAAGGUGUUGUUUUUUUUUUUAAUUGUCAUGAAAACUGUUCCAUUGUUAUGUAGUGGGGAGAGACCAGGAGUGCUGGGUUACAUGUAUUAUUAAACUCUGUAUAAUAUAUAGGAUAUAGCAAUAAAGAACAAGCUAUCUGAGUGGUAGAGAGAUUGAGAAAGCCAACUCUGGAGAAAUUAUUUGUCCUGUGAGAGAGAGGGUGUGUUCACA